rnacentral:rRNA from 1 species
AACGAACGCUGGCGGCAUGCCUAACACAUGCAAGUCGAACGAUGGUCUUCGGAUCAUAGUGGCGCACGGGUGCGUAACGCGUGGGAAUCUGCCCUUGGGUUCGGAAUAACAGUUGGAAACGACUGCUAAUACCGGAUGAUGUCGAUAAGACCAAAGAUUUAUCGCCCGAGGAUGAGCCCGCGUCGGAUUAGCUAGUUGGUGGGGUAAAGGCCUACCAAGGCGACGAUCCGUAGCUGGUCUGAGAGGAUGAUCAGCCACACUGGGACUGAGACACGGCCCAGAAUCCUACGGGAGGCAGCAGUGGGGAAUAUUGGACAAUGGGCGCAAGCCUGAUCCAGCAAUGCCGCGUGAGUGAUGAAGGCCUUAGGGUUGUAAAGCUCUUUUACCCGGGAAGAUAAUGACUGUACCGGGAGAAUAAGCCCCGGCUAACUCCGUG